rnacentral:rRNA from 1 species
UACGUAGGGUGCGAGCGUUGUCCGGAAUUACUGGGCGUAAAGAGCUCGUAGGUGGUUUGUCGCGUCGUCUGUGAAAUUCCGGGGCUUAACUUCGGGCGUGCAGGCGAUACGGGCAAUACUUGAGUGCUGUAGGGGAGACUGGAAUUCCUAGUGUAGCGGUGAAAUGCGUAGAGAUUAGGAAGAACACCAGUGGCGAAGGCGAUUCUCUGGGCAGUAACUGACGCUGAGGAGCGAAAGCAUGGGUAGCGAACAGGAUUAGAUACCCCU